CCUCUUCCCAUGAGGCUCUACAGGUGCAGGCCAUGCCACCUGUCCUCAGAGCUACAGUUCCUCCCAUGUGAGAACAGUCCUGAAGAUGCCCUGGUAAGCUGUGUUGUCCAUAGUCCCUGGCUCUGUCUGAUUUCAGAACAGGAGAAUAGCUCUGAUGCUCCUGUCGGCUGUGGUCACCGGACUCCUGCUCUUCUGUAUGCAAUGACCCCAGGGAAGGACAGCCGCCCUGCCCCUGAAGCUGUGACCCAAGGACCCACCCCGGGUAUCUGUGCUCCUGGGCAUGGCCUCAUUCCAAGUGAGACUGCUGCAACCAAGACCCAACAGAGCAUCCCGCUCCAGGGCUGACUGAGAGGGAAGCGUCUGACCCAGACCCAGCCCCUACGCAAAUGCAAGAUGCAGAGCAGGGAGGCCACUGAGCCAGAAGUAAAACAGAUCCAGCAACAAGCUGUGCACAGACAACUAUGCAGUUGCUGACCCAGGGCUUCCCCCAAAGCUUGAGCCUUGAAGGAAAAUGGGCUUUGAAUAAUGUGGUCAUGCUCCUGGAAGGCACUGUGGAGAACAAGGAUUGGGCAGACAAGGGUGCGCUGCCUGGGUUGACCACUGGGGGUGCACGUCAGCUCUUGAAGUCACUGUUGAGAAGUGAGGGCAGAGUUCAUUGCACGACUUCCUGAGCUGCAGCUGACCUGACUUCCUGAAAGCCCAGCACACAAAAGCAGGCUUCCUGGGCUGGGCCGGGAGGAUAGAGGUCUGUUUUCCAGGCUGCUGAGGGCUGUGGGUUAGAGUGUUUUUAUACAUGUCCAUUGUGUGUCUUCAACCUCUCAUGUGGUGUUCAUAAAAAGUCUACAAAGAAACCCCAGCGCUAAGCAAUCAGAAAACAAACACCCUGAUUAACAAUGGGAAGAGAUCUGGAGAGACGGCUCACCGCCGCAGAUGGACAGAUGGCGUGAGAAGACAUUCAAAGCCAUUUGUUACGAUGGAAUUGCAAAUUUAAACACGGAGAUGCCGCCACACACAGAUUACAAGGAAAAGAAAAACCCAACCAAAACAAAAACUUCACAGAACUGCCAGCACCAAACGCUAGUGAGCAUGUGUCACUGGGCAUGGCUGGUGGCAUGCAGGAUGACAUAGCCACGAUGGGAAGUAGUUUGGCAUUUCCUUACACGGUACACACUCUCCCACCAUAAGACCGAGCAAUUGUGCUCUUUGGUGUUCAUCCAAUUGAUUUGAAAAUGUGUGUCAACACAAAAGGCUGCUCAUGAAUGUUUACCCCAGCUUUCUUCACAAUCACCCGAACAGGAAGCAGCCUCAGCUGCCAGCAGGUGCGGAGGUAAACAUCCGUGCAUUCUUAGAGGAAGCGCCCAGCCACGGGAACGCCAGUCCCCGAGGCACAGAAAGGCACAGUAAGGCACAGCAGAGCCUCCGUGUGCAGAGGCUGCCUACUGGAUCAUUCUGAGUGUGUCUUUCUGCGCUCCUGAGGUGGCUCGUCAAGACUGGAGACCUGAGUUCAAGCCCCAGAACUCAGCUAUAGGUGGAAGGAAGGAACCGGAUUGUCCUUGGACCUCUGCACGCACACCGUGGCACACACAAGAAGAAAACACUUUCUUAAAGACUCCAACUUUGUCUUUCUGAAAAGGUAAAAUCACACACAGAAAGGAGACCAGAGGCUUCCUGGAAACAAAGAGUGUUUGCUUUUCUCUCUGACAAGAUGGCUGGCAGACACAACUUGUACUUGGGUCGGGGUCCAUUACGGCAGGAGGGUACAACAGAGAUCUUGGUGCUGGAGUGUGCAGAGGAGUCCCUGGAGUCAUGGCAGACCAGGAAGUGGAAAACUCGGAGCUGGGAUGACAAGCAGGGACCACCUUCAAAGGCUACCCCAGCGGUCUACUUCUGACAGCCAGGUCCCACCUCGUAAACUUUCCGUAGUCUCUCCAAACAGUUCCAGCGGCUGGGCAGCUGGCAUUCGAAACACAAGACUGCGGGGGAGUUUCAAAUUUGAACUGUACGAAGCAGGAGCGAGAGAUGAACGAAGAGCCCACCAGAUGAAGCUGUUCUGUGCCUCUGGAAGCAUACGGAACAAAAUGCACAGGCCUCUGUGGCCCGUGUGACUAUUCAGUACAAGCUAAAGCAUUGCUUAGGGGACUGGGAAGAUUUCUCAGUGGUUAAGAGUACUGGCUGCUCUCCCGGAGGACCCAGGUUUGAUUCUCAGCACCCACAUGGCAGCUCACAACUGUCUGCAACUCCAGUUCUAGUGGAUGCAAAGCUAUCUUCUGUCAGGCACCAUGAUGCAGACACACAUGCAGGAAAAACAGCAACACACAUGACACUAUAUAAAAAAGGGGAAAAUGCCCAUUACUUAGGAGGCCAGGAGCCCUAGGUAGGCCUAGAAAUGCAUCUAAUGCCAUUGCUCAUUUAUGAGUGGGAUGGAUUUAUGGAGAGGCAGAGCAGGGACUGCCCAGGUCACUUGGGGAGUAGGUGGAGUCUAAAGGCAAGAGAAACCACACACCGACCUUGGAGGUUGGGUGGUUAUGUGCUUACACAGGGCCAGGAUUCCAGGGACACCAGGCCACACGCAAGUUGAAGGAUGGAGUGGUCUGUGCAGGUGAAGAGUCUGGCUUCUCAGGGAGAAUUGAGGCAGGCGAGAGGAGGAGACACAGAGAUCUGGGAGGCGGGGAAUUGGCUGGAACGUCAAUGUUUUGGACUUGUGUUUGUCACAAUAUGUGUAAGAACUUCAGAGGAACAACAUGUGUCACAAAGGGAAUUUAUCAUAUUGCCUGGCAUGAGACGAGCUAUGUAGUCCAAUAAUGACCACCACCAUUGUGGUGGGGUGUCAGGGGUUGUCUGGGGAGUCACGUGCUGUUCUUUAGUUCAGGUCUGAAGGCUGUAGAGUUUGGCAGCAGUGGCAAUGAUUGACACACUUUAUUCCACAAAGCGAUAAAGACAGACAGAAAACACUGUUUGUUCCUCAGACCUCUUCAUAUCUGGGCUACCUGCAGGAAGGUGUCACUCACUCCAAGGACAGCCUUUUCUCCCUCAGUUUACCCCCUCCAGAAGGCAUCUCGUGAUGCACCCAGUGGUGCACCUCUGAGGUGAGUCCAGAUCCCAUCAAGUUGACAGUCAAGGCUAAUCAUCACAACGUAGGUGGGCGUGGCUGCACACAGAGCACCGCCCACACCCGUGCAUGUGGCUGUGCAGACUGGAGUCUCUACUCUGUCUAGGGGUCUCUAUGUGGGCCAUCCCCACAUCAGUGAUGCACCUGGUGCCUGGGUCUUCGUUCUGUCGGUCUCUGGGGAAGAGAAACAGACUUCAGUAGAGACACAACUGACUGCAAGAUGAGCAAGAACUUGACAAGGGUGACCUGAAGUCAGAUAAUGCUGGAGACCCUUAGUGCUAAUUAAUGCCUGCUGCAAUGGCACAGUCAAACUGGAGAGACAGGUAGAGACGAGAGAGGACUUGACUGUAGUGGCAUCAGACCAUGAUGUGUUAGACAAAGCAUCCCAUGUCACGUGUUUGAGUCUAACAAUAAUCCACAUACCAUCAUUGCUUGAGGAACUGUGAAGACAGCUGGAAGCCACUGUGAAGGUCUCAUUGCGCUGUGUGCACUCAACUAUUCCAGAAACGUUAUUUAAAUAUUAUUAUCAUUGUUAUUAUCGUGUGUGCGGGUGUUCUGCCUCCAAUUAUAUGCACUAUUUUUAUGUCUGGUGCCCUGGGGGGGGUUGGAUCCCCUGGAACUGGAGUUACAGGCUGUUUCGGGCUACCAUGUGGGUGCUGGGAAUGGAACUCUGGUCCUCUGGAAGAGCAGCCAGUGAGAGCACACAGUGCUCUUAACCACUGAGCAAUCCAUCUCUCCAGUCCCUAUGAGUUAUUUUUUUAAAUUCCAAACUGUGUUAGCUACCUUUCCUGUGAUUAAAUACUUGACAAAAAGCAACUUAAGGGAGGAAGAGCUCAUUUUGGCUCACAGUUUAGAGGGAUGAAGCCCACCACGGUGAGGAAGGCAUGAUGGGAGUGGCUUGGCGGAUGCCAUGCUGACCAAUAAGUAGAGAAAGGAGAAAGAUAUUCAGCUGGGCUCCUUGUUUUUGUUUUCACCUAAUCUGACACCUUAGCCUGUGGGAUGGCGCUGCCUACAUUCAGGGUGGUCUCAGUUAAACCUCUCAGAAAACCCCUUCUGCAGGUGUGUCUCCUGGGUGGCUCCAAACCGGGGCGAGUUGACAGUGAGGAACAACCACACACGAAUCUCUCUACUUUUCCUAAUUUUGCUAAUUUAAUUUGACUUUACAUAUUAUCAGUGCUUAUAGCUUUAACUCUUACACCUCACUUGGUUUCUUCUGCUACCUGGGCCCAGUUUCACAGCGAGAUGGGCUCAGAGCCCAGCCCCUGGCGCUACUGUGUUUCUGUGUCUGUGAGGUCUGUUGUCUCUGUAAUUGACUAGGAGCUCACAGGCUGGCAGACCCAACCAUUUGUCAUCCAAUCUGGAACAUUCUGGAACAUUUGCUUCCUUUGUUUUUUUUUUAAUAACUGGUAACAAUUUUAAUUGUAACAAGAAGCCACAACAAGUAACAAAGCAAAAAGUA